ACUCCACAAAUGAAGAAAAGAGCACAAAUGACGUUGGCAAACCUGAAACUUUCCCAUUGGGCAAUCAACAUUACUCCAGUCAAAAACAUUAUGGAGGCAUACCUGAAACUUCCCCAUUGGGCAAUAAACAUUACUCCAGUCAAAAACAUUAUGGAAGAGGCAAACCUGAAACUUUCCCAUUGGGCAAUCAGCAUUACUCCAGUCAAAGACAUUAUGGAAGAGGCAAACCUGAAACUUUCCCAUUGGGCAAUAAACAUUACUCCAGUCAAAAACAUUAUGGAAGAGGCAAACCUGAAACUUUCCCAUUGGGCAAUCAGCAUUACUCCAGUCAAAAAAAGUAUGGAAGAGGUGCUUCUCCAUCCGACAAUCAACAACUCCAUUAUAAAGACUUAGCUAUUUUCUUCUUGGAGAAGGACAUGCGCCCUGGCACAACAAUGAAGUUCCAAUUCC
rnacentral:lncRNA from 1 species